UGUACCUACGGGGGGCAGCAGUGAGGAAUAUUGGUCAAUGGACGAGAGUCUGAACCAGCCGAGUAGCGUGAAGGAUGACUGCCCUAUGGGUUGUAAACUUCUUUUAUAUGGGAAUAAAAUGUUCCACGUGUGGGACUUUGUAUGUACCAUAUGAAUAAGGAUCGGCUAACUCCGUGCCAGCAGCCGCGGUAAUACGGAGGAUGCGAGCGUUAUCCGGAUUUAUUGGGUUUAAAGGGUGCGUAGGCGGAAUGCCAAGUCAGCGGUAAAAUCGCGGGGCUCAACCUCGCUCCGCCGUUGAAACUGGG
rnacentral:rRNA from 1 species